UACAGAGGGUGCAAGCGUUGUUCGGAAUUACUGGGCGUAAAGCGCGUGUAGGCGGUCUGUUAAGUCUCGUGUGAAAGCCCUCAGCUCAACUGAGGAAGUGCGCCCGAAACUGCAGAGCUUGAGUGCCGGAGAGGGUGGCGGAAUUCCCCAAGUAGAGGUGAAAUUCGUAGAUAUGGGGAGGAACACCGGUGGCGAAGGCGGCCACCUGGACGGUAACUGACGCUGAGGAGCGAAAGCCAGGGGAGCAAACGGG
rnacentral:rRNA from 1 species